GACGAACGCUGGCGGCGUGCUUAACACAUGCAAGUCGAACGGAAAGGCCCUGCUUUUGUGGGGUGCUCGAGUGGCGAACGGGUGAGUAACACGUGAGUAACCUGCCCUUGACUUUGGGAUAACUUCAGGAAACUGGGGCUAAUACCGGAUAGGAGCUCCUGCUGCAUGGUGGGGGUUGGAAAGUUUCGGCGUUUGGGGAUGGACUCGCGGCUUAUCAGCUUGUUGGUGGGGUAGUGGCUUACCAAGGCUUUGACGGGUAGCCGGCCUGAGAGGGUGACCGGCCACAUUGGGACUGAGAUACGGCCCAGACUCCUACGGGAGGCAGCAGUGGGGAAUAUUGCACAAUGGGCGGAAGCCUGAUGCAGCGACGCCGCGUGCGGGAUGACGGCCUUCGGGUUGUAAACCGCUUUCGCCUGUGACGAAGCGUGAGUGACGGUAAUGGGUAAAGAAGCACCGGCUAACUACGUG
rnacentral:rRNA from 1 species